CAAGAAGCGAAGGCUACUUCCAAACCCAUGUGAACUUAUCCAAUUGUUGCCUCGGCGGCGCAGGCUACCCUCACGGGGGACCGCAGCCCCGCCUCUCAGGCGGUAAGGGGCCCGCCGCGGACGAUACCGAAAACUCUUGUUAUCUUAGUUGAUUAUCUGAGUUCUUAAAUUAAUAAGUUCA
rnacentral:misc_RNA from 1 species